GUGGGGAAUUUUGGACAAUGGGCGCAAGCCUGAUCCAGCAAUGCCGCGUGCAGGAAGAAGGCCUUCGGGUUGUAAACUGCUUUUGUACGGAACGAAACGGUCCUGGUUAAUACCUGGGGCUAAUGACGGUACCGUAAGAAUAAGCACCGGCUAACUACGUGCCAGCAGCCGCGGUAAUACGUAGGGUGCGAGCGUUAAUCGGAAUUACUGGGCGUAAAGCGUGCGCAGGCGGUGCUGUAAGACAGGCGUGAAAUCCCCGGGCUCAACCUGGGAAUUGCGCUGGUGACUGCAGUGCUGGAGUACGGCAGAGGGGGAUGGAAUUCCGCGUGUAGCAGUGAAAUGCGUAGAUAUGCGGAGGAACACCGAUGGCGAAGGCAGUCCCCUGGGCCUGUACUGACGCUCAUGCACGAAAGCGUGGGGAGCAAACAGGAUUAGAAACCCUAGUAGUCC
rnacentral:rRNA from 1 species